CGUCGUAUUGAUACUGCGACAAGUAUCAUAGAUUUUGACAUCGUUCGGGCCAAUUUCUACAUAAAAGUAUAUUUGCCAUUAUUUAAAUUUUAUUUUAGCUAAAAAAUAAUCUAACAAACUGAAUAUAAUAAGCAUUGUUUAUCGUUCAAUAUUAAUUUAUAAAUUAACAAUAAUUUAAUUCAAUAAACUUUUAUAUCAAUAUUGUUAUUUUAUAAAUAUUCUGUUACAAUAUUAUAAGAAACAAUGAGUUCAUUACAUCUUGGAAAAGGUUCUAUAAAACCAGCAGAAAUUGAAGGACAAGCAAGAUUGUAUAGUAUGAAAUUUUGUCCAUAUGCUCAUAGAAUUCGUCUAAUACUUUCCAUUAAAAAAGUUCCUCAUGAUAUCGUUAAUAUUAAUUUGAAAAACAAACCGGAAUGGUAUUUAGAAAUUCAUCCCGAAGGAAAAGUACCAGCAUUUGUAGAUGCAGAUGGUAAAGUAGUCGUUGAUUCAACAGAAAUUGCAAAUUACAUAGAUAAAAAAUAUCCUUUACCUGAAUUAUAUCAUGAAGAAACAAAAAGUCGUGAUUUAGAAUUACUCGAACAUUAUUCCAAGAUUAUUGACAUUUUCUCAAAUUGUAUACAUGGUAAAGAUUCAAGAACAUUACAUGAAAUAGUGGAUGAAAUAAGUAAUCUUUUAGAAGAAUUUGAGGAUGAAUUAAAAAUGCGUGACACAGAUUUUUAUGGAGGAAAUGAACCUAAAAUGUUGGAUAUCCUCAUGUGGCCUUGGAUUGAAAGAGCAAAGUCAUUAUCUGUAAUUUAUAAACAGCCUUUAAAUGUCAAUAAACAAAGAUUUUCAAAAAUUAUGAAAUGGAUUUCUGAAAUGAGAGCACAACAAUUUGUACAAGAAAAUGCAUGUUCUUAUGAAAAAUUUGGGCAACUUAUUAACGAAAUGAAAUCUUCUGAUGUUGAUUUCGAUGCUAUAUAAAGAUAUUAUCAAAAUGUUCUAAAAUGCUUUUAUAAUAUGGUAGACAAAAGAGAAAAAUUAAAAAGGAUACAACAAGUCACAAACUGGAUCCAUAUAUUUCAAAUGUGCUUGUGUACGAUCCACUUGUUCCAGCAUUUCAUAUAAACUAACUGCUAGAUCAACUAUGCAACGUGGUCUCUCUGCAUUAAACCUUGCUAAGGUAGGUCCAAUUAAAUGACAAGCAUAUAUCAAUUGUUCCUCACUAUUUACCACAGGUUGAAGUUUCUCUUUAAUAAAUCUAAUAAAUAUAUGAAAAAUUAUUAACAGAAUCAAAGUCUCUACUAUCAUUGAUAUAAAUUUUUUUUUCACUUACUGAGGCAUUGUUGUAAUUUGACCUGCUCCAGCAUGAUGCCAAAUUGAAUGUGCUAAUGCAAGCAUAUAACUAUAUUUAUUUUCAAGUAAACUAUUAUGCGUAAUAUUGAAAUUAAACAUCUGGAAUGGUGUUAAAUUAUUAUACUGCCAAUUUGCUAAACCUGGACUACUUAUAAUUUCCACAAGUCGGUCAUGUAAUGUCGACCAAUAGCACUCUGGUAAAGCAGCUAAAAGUAAUCCAACGCAAUUUAUCCAUAAAUGUAUUUCGUUAGAUGGUACUACAGUAUACCUAUUAUAAUUCAAAAAGUAAUUAAUAUGAAAUGUAUAUGGUGAUUUAAAGAAUUAAUAAAGAUUAUACUGUACCCUUUAGCAACAA